rnacentral:rRNA from 1 species
GACGAACCGUGCGAACGUUAUUCGGAAUCACUGGGCUUAAAGCGCGUGUAGGCGGGACGGCACGUCUGUCGCUGAAAUCCCCCGCCUUAACCGGGGAACUGGCGGAGAUACGACCGUCCUGGAGGGGCGUAGGGGGACCUGGAACUUCCGGUGGAGCGGUGAAAUGCGCAGAUAUCGGGAAGAACACCCGUGGCGAAGGCGGCUCUCUGGGACGGUACUGACGCUGAGACGCGAAAGCGUGGGGAGCGAACAGG